rnacentral:rRNA from 1 species
UACGUAGGGGGCAAGCGUUGUCCGGAUUUACUGGGCGUAAAGAGCGCGCAGGCGGUCGUUCAAGUCGCGUGUGAAAGCCCCCGGCUCAACUGGGGAGGGUCACGCGAUACUGAUCGACUCGAAGGCAGGAGAGGGUAGUGGAACUCCUAGUGUAGAGGUGGAAUUCGUAGAUAUUAGGAAGAACACCAGUGGCGAAGGCGGCUCACUGGUCCGGUACUGACGCUGAGGCACGAAAGCAUGGGGAGCAAAAGGG